AGCUGGCUCUAGCUGAGAGAUGCAAGAUUUACCUCACACAUUCAUCAAGCUGUCAAUUUGUGAAUCCUUGCCAACCAGGGAGUGCACUUGACUGGCCAGUGUUUGUGGUGUGUCAGACAAGUGGGAGACGUGAGGAAGGAGAGGGCUGUGACGCUGUACCCCAGGAGGAGAAAUGCAAGAUGUCCGUGCUCAGCUGUGAGGAGGGGAAUGGCUUCAUUACACGAGGUGAAACUCAGCCCUUGCUAGUAGAAAGUCAGUAUUUACAAACCACUGUACGACGGGGAUCCAACCAUUUGACCUGAGAACCAGAAUGUGACUGCAAUGUCCCAGAAGCUGCAAGUGCUCAGCUGUUGUCUCAGCAUGAGCAAGGCUUUGCCUGCCAGCCUCCUGUCUAGUCCAUGUGAAAGGUUUGUGACUCAAUUACUGACUACUACUUUUAGCUUAAAAUGGUGACAACCCACACGUCUAAAAUGCAGAAGCAGCAAAUUUCUCUGUCUUUCAACUCUCCUGAGUUCACUGACGUGACAAGGUUUGCCAGGGCAGUGAGUUGGACCAACUAAUAGAUGAAUAAAAACAAAUGAGUUUUUAGGAGUAGAAAUCCUUGCUUCAGUCUUUUUUAUGAGUGCAAAUGUCUCUUGCUACAGUGGCUUGCUCCUGGAUCCCGGGAUUUAUACCUGCUUUUUACCCCCCAUCCUGGGGGGACCUGCAGAGCUCUGCUGGGCUGGCCUGGCCUGAGAUGCUCCAAGCUCAUGAGGUGGCAAAAUAUGCCUCCUGUGGUUUUUCUUGAUGAAGCUGGCAGCUGGACACGUGGCAUGUGCUGCAGAGACCUUUCCAAAUUCUGUCUGUGUUCUUGGAGGAAAUGCAGAACCACUCUGGGACCCAAGCCAGGCGUAGGGUUUAUACCCAGGCUGGAGCACACUGUCGGAGACUGAAUGCCUGCAGAGAGGCCAUGGCAGCAGACCCUUCCCAGUGCUCCUCUGCCUGCAGUGGAGGAAGGAGGCACUUUCCAGGCAGCAGAGGACAGCAGCACAGUGGUGCCCUGUGCUGCAGUGUGAGGGUAGAGUGCCCCCCCUGGGUAGCCAGCACAGGGGACACUGCAGGGAGCGUGUCCUGCGAAUCACAAGUGCUGGCUGUGGGGUAGUUUAGCUAGGGUUUGACUUUGGAUGAUGCAGUCCUUAGCCCAUCCUGCACACUAGAUGGGGCCAAGGGAGGAUUUGCCUGCAAACCACCUCACCUUCAAUCUGCCAGACCACAAACUGCUUUGGGAGCAGCCCAGGAGCACUUCUGCUUCCCUCUCAGACAUCCUUUUCUAUCCACCAUACCAAGUACUCUCAGAAAUCUGUUUCUAAUAUUUGCUGUGUCUUUUUAGAGUUGUCUUUACACCCAAGCAGAUGCUUAAUUUUCCUGGCUCCCCCUACUUUUCUCUUUCCCCUCUGCAGCCCUAUCUUCUCCCCCAGCUUGAAAUGAAUUCUGUGCAUGCUAAGUCCAGGAGAGACCAUGAACUGAAAAGCCUAUUAAUGAGCUCCUUAGAAUGGGUAAGUUUUUAUUGAUGGGGAAGACCAAAGCAAAAAGGAGUGGUUUUUAAGCAUUUUGGGCAGCAUCAAGAGACAUGCCUCGAGGAAAAGACAAAUCCUAUCCUUCAUACCUGCCUGAAGACACAAUUAAACUGUUUCACAGGCACCAUUUGAGGUUUGUGAAGGCUAUUGUAGAAACAAUGCUCAAGUAUUUUAGGUCAAAAAAAAGCCAGUUACAGCCUCUACAUGAUCAAUAGGUGAGUAUCAGAAGCCAAAGCCCAGAGGAUGCUCUCAGGCACAUGGUGUGAUUCUUGGGGUAUCCUGCACAGGGCCAAGAGUUGGACUCGAUGAUCCUGAUGGGUCCCUUCCAACUCAGCAUAUUCUAUGAACCUGGGUGCCCAUGCAGGACUUGCAAGUGAAUGAAACACCAAGUGACCACUCCAGAAAGGGAUGUUGGGGAAUGGGAUUUUUUUGGCGUUCUUCCUGCAAGGCCACCCCAGGGCAAUGCCAGGUUCUCCUUCUACAUUUUUAAAGCUGUGUUCAUUCUUUUGUGUUUUAGGCAUGCAACAGAUGCAUUUACUCUUGGAACAGGGUUUAUUAAAACUCUGACUGGGCAUGAAAAGCCAGUCAGCAUUCCCUGAAAACUGGAAUGUCUUCUAGGCUUGUUGUCUACCUUGACUAAGAUCUCUGAUAUAUUUCAGUUAAAGAGUUACCAAAACCAAACAAGUAAAACAAGCUUGUAAUUCAGAAGAGAUUAGACUGGUCUUAAAGGAGAAAUAUACAGAUAUAUUUUAUUUUUAUAAGUAGAAAAAUUAAGUAUAAAGUUCCUGUAGAACCACUCUUUGCCAGAGCAAACACAUCAAUCAUUUAAUAAUUUCCCAUACUAGCAGGAAUGCACACAGCAUCUUUUGUAGGAAAAUCACUUUUCAAAGGACACCAGUUUUGACAUUACACAGCUGAACAGCUGCUCAUUUCUUUUUUUCUCUAGUUCCUUGGCCACCACUGCUUUUCCAAUAACUCUUUCAGGGAAAGACAGGGGAGAACUCCAUUUUAGAUUAAAAAACAUUUCGGUUUUUUGAGAGCCUCCCCCAGAGACCUAUCAAAAGCAACACGUAGUAACAAUACAGUGCAUAGUUCUCUUGCCUUGGGAAAGGAGCUCUCUUUAAAGCCCAACUAAUUCAUUAGAAGGGAUUAUAGGAUUAAAGAGCUCCUAAAGGCUAGAGACCCACUUCUAUAAGACAGUAAUUGUUUAUUUCAAGGAUAGUGAUGCUGCAGCUUUCAUGAGCCUCAGAGUUAGUACAUCCAGAGAUGCACAGGAGAUCAAUCAGCUCUCCAGACACCCAAUCAGGGAAUCCAAAAAUGGUUUCGGUACAAGAAAAUUCUCUAUUAAGUUAAUUAGCUUCACGUAUGGAAAGUUCA